rnacentral:rRNA from 1 species
AACGAACGCUGGCGGCAGGCUUAACACAUGCAAGUCGAACGGGUGUAGCAAUACAUCAGUGGCAGACGGGUGAGUAACACGUGGGAACCUUCCUAGGGGUACGGAACAACUCAGGGAAACUCGAGCUAAUACCGUAUACGUCCGUGAGGAGAAAGAUUUAUCGCCCUUAGACGGGCCCGCGUCGGAUUAGCUAGUUGGUAGGGUAACGGCCUACCAAGGCGACGAUCCGUAGCUGAUCUUAGAGGAUGAUCAGCCACACUGGGACUGAGACACGGCCCAGACUCCUACGGGAGGCAGCAGUGGGGAAUCUUGGACAAUGGGCGCAAGCCUGAUCCAGCCAUGCCGCGUGAGUGAAGAAGGUCUUCGGAUUGUAAAGCUCUUUUACCAGGGACGAUAAUGACGGUACCUGGAGAAUAAGCCCCGGCAAACUUCGUGCCAGCCGCCGCCGUAACAC